GAGCUUAGAGAGCUUGCUUUUUAAGCUUAGUGGCGAACGGGUGAGUAACGCGUGAGUAACCUGCCCUAUAGUGGGGGACAACAGUUGGAAACGACUGCUAAUACCGCAUAAGCCCACGGUACCGCAUGGUACUGAGGGAAAAGGAUUUAUUCGCUUUAGGAUGGACUCGCGUCCAAUUAGCUAGUUGGUGAGGUAACGGCCCACCAAGGCGACGAUUGGUAGCCGGACUGAGAGGUUGAACGGCCACAUUGGGACUGAGACACGGCCCAGACUCCUACGGGAGGCAGCAGUGGGGGAUAUUGCACAAUGGGGGAAACCCUGAUGCAGCGACGCCGCGUGGGGGAAGAAGGUUUUCGGAUUGUAAACUCCUGUCGUUAGGGACGAUAAUGACGGUACCUAACAAGAAAGCACCGGCUAACUACGUGCCAGCAGCCGCGGUAAAACGUAGGGUGCAAGCGUUGUCCGGAAUUACUGGGUGUAAAGGGAGCGCAGGCGGGAAGACAAGUUGGAAGUGAAAACCAUGGGCUCAACCCAUGAAUUGCUUUCAAAACUGUUUUUCUUGAGUAGUGCA
rnacentral:rRNA from 1 species